GGGUUGUGAGGUUAAGCGACUAAGCGUACACGGUGGAUGCCCUGGCAGUCAGAGGCGAUGAAGGACGUGCUAAUCUGCGAAAAGCGUCGGUAAGGUGAUAUGAACCGUUACAGCCGGCGAUGUCCGAAUGGGGAAACCCAGUGCAAUUCGUUGCACUAUCGUUAACUGAAUACAUAGGUUAACGAGGCGAACCGGGGGAACUGAAACAUCUAAGUACCCCGAGGAAAAGAAAUCAACCGAGAUUCCCCCAGUAGCGGCGAGCGAACGGGGAGCAGCCCAGAGUCUGAAUCAGCUUGUGUGUUAGUGGAACGGUCUGGAAAGUCCGACGGUACAGGGUGAUAGUCCCGUACACCAAAAUGCACAGGUUGUGAACUCGAAGAGUAGGGCGGGACACGUGGUAUCCUGUCUGAAUAUGGGGGGACCAUCCUCCAAGGCUAAAUACUCCUGACUGACCGAUAGUGAACCAGUACCGUGAGGGAAAGGCGAAAAGAACCCCGGCGAGGGGAGUGAAAAAGAACCUGAAACCGUGUACGUACAAGCAGUGGGAGCACCUUCGGGUGUGACUGCGUACCUUUUGUAUAAUGGGUCAGCGACUUAUAUUCUGUAGCAAGGUUAACCGUAUAGGGGAGCCGCAGGGAAACCGAGUCUUAACUGGGCGUUAAGUUGCAGGGUAUAGACCCGAAACCCGGUGAUCUAGCCAUGGGCAGGUUGAAGGUUGGGUAACACUAACUGGAGGACCGAACCGACUAAUGUUGAAAAAUUAGCGGAUGACUUGUGGCUGGGGGUGAAAGGCCAAUCAAACCGGGAGAUAGCUGGUUCUCCCCGAAAGCUAUUUAGGUAGCGCCUCGUGAAUUCAUCUUCGGGGGUAGAGCACUGUUUCGGCUAGGGGGUCAUCCCGACUUACCAACCCGAUGCAAACUACGAAUACCGAAGAAUGUUAUCACGGGAGACACACGGCGGGUGCUAACGUCCGUCGUGAAGAGGGAAACAACCCAGACCGCCAGCUAAGGUCCCAAAGUCAUGGUUAAGUGGGAAACGAUGUGGGAAGGCACAGACAGCCAGGAUGUUGGCUUAGAAGCAGCCAUCAUUUAAAGAAAGCGUAAUAGCUCACUGGUCGAGUCGGCCUGCGCGGAAGAUGUAACGGGGCUAAACCAUGCACCGAAGCUGCGGCAGCGACGCUUAUGCGUUGUUGGGUAGGGGAGCGUUCUGUAAGCCUGCGAAGGUGGCCUGUGAGGGCUGCUGGAGGUAUCAGAAGUGCGAAUGCUGACAUAAGUAACGAUAAAGCGGGUGAAAAGCCCGCUCGCCGGAAGACCAAGGGUUCCUGUCCAACGUUAAUCGGGGCAGGGUGAGUCGACCCCUAAGGCGAGGCCGAAAGGCGUAGUCGAUGGGAAACAGGUUAAUAUUCCUGUACUUGGUGUUACUGCGAAGGGGGGACGGAGAAGGCUAUGUUAGCCGGGCGACGGUUGUCCCGGUUUAAGCAUGUAGGCGGAGGUUCCAGGUAAAUCCGGUACCUUUUAACGCUGAGGUGUGAUGACGAGGCACUACGGUGCUGAAGUAACAAAUGCCCUGCUUCCAGGAAAAGCCUCUAAGCAUCAGGUAACAUUAAAUCGUACCCCAAACCGACACAGGUGGUCAGGUAGAGAAUACCAAGGCGCUUGAGAGAACUCGGGUGAAGGAACUAGGCAAAAUGGUGCCGUAACUUCGGGAGAAGGCACGCUGGUGUGUAGGUGAAGUCCCUGCGGACGGAGCUGAGACCAGUCGAAGAUACCAGCUGGCUGCAACUGUUUAUUAAAAACACAGCACUGUGCAAACACGAAAGUGGACGUAUACGGUGUGACGCCUGCCCGGUGCCGGAAGGUUAAUUGAUGGGGUUAUCCGUAAGGAGAAGCUCUUGAUCGAAGCCCCGGUAAACGGCGGCCGUAACUAUAACGGUCCUAAGGUAGCGAAAUUCCUUGUCGGGUAAGUUCCGACCUGCACGAAUGGCGUAAUGAUGGCCAGGCUGUCUCCACCCGAGACUCAGUGAAAUUGAACUCGCUGUGAAGAUGCAGUGUACCCGCGGCAAGACGGAAAGACCCCGUGAACCUUUACUAUAGCUUGACACUGAACAUUGAGCCUUGAUGUGUAGGAUAGGUGGGAGGCUUUGAAGCGUGGACGCCAGUCUGCGUGGAGCCAACCUUGAAAUACCACCCUUUAAUGUUUGAUGUUCUAACGUUGGCCCGUAAUCCGGGUUGCGGACAGUGUCUGGUGGGUAGUUUGACUGGGGCGGUCUCCUCCCAAAGAGUAACGGAGGAGCACGAAGGUUAGCUAAUCCUGGUCGGACAUCAGGAGGUUAGUGCAAUGGCAUAAGCUAGCUUGACUGCGAGCGUGACGGCGCGAGCAGGUGCGAAAGCAGGUCAUAGUGAUCCGGUGGUUCUGAAUGGAAGGGCCAUCGCUCAACGGAUAAAAGGUACUCCGGGGAUAACAGGCUGAUACCGCCCAAGAGUUCAUAUCGACGGCGGUGUUUGGCACCUCGAUGUCGGCUCAUCACAUCCUGGGGCUGAAGUAGGUCCCAAGGGUAUGGCUGUUCGCCAUUUAAAGUGGUACGCGAGCUGGGUUUAGAACGUCGUGAGACAGUUCGGUCCCUAUCUGCCGUGGGCGCUGGAGAAUUGAGGGGGGCUGCUCCUAGUACGAGAGGACCGGAGUGGACGCAUCACUGGUGUUCGGGUUGUCAUGCCAAUGGCACUGCCCGGUAGCUAAAUGCGGAAGAGAUAAGUGCUGAAAGCAUCUAAGCACGAAACUUGCCCCGAGAUGAGUUCUCCCUGAGACUUUAAGUCUCCUGAAGGAACGUUGAAGACGACGACGUUGAUAGGCCGGGUGUGUAAGCGCAGCGAUGCGUUGAGCUAACCGGUACUAAUGAACCGUGAGGCUUAACCUUACAACGCCGAAG
rnacentral:rRNA from 1 species